CAUCUGUUCAGAAAUGUGAGCGACUCGAUCAGAUGAGCCUUCUUGUCUCGAAGUUUGUUAAAAGGUCUAAUAGUUUUGUGAAAACCCUCCACGUUGAGGCGGUUAAAUCUUUAGUUAAAUAUUCAUAUUCUUAGGUUUUUUCGGUAAAGUCACGUAGGUAAAACAUUUAAAUUAAUAAAAGUAAAAUAAAACAUAAAAAAAUUCACGACGUUUCGGAAGCAACACAAGCCUCCGUCUUCAGGUGGAACCGUCACAGCCACGACAGCUGUAUCAAGUAAAUGAGAGAUCACAAGAAAUACUACCCCGUAUAUAUAAUGGUUGAGGGGGGAAGGGCCAGGAACGGCACACUUUUUUAUUAAUAUGGUAAGGUGAGGCUUAAGACCAAGAGUAGACUGCAUAACAAAGGACUGAGCCUUUGUUAUGGAGAGGUGCGGUUUGUAACUAACACCUAGCAUACAUAACAAAAGUGUGAAAAAAGAAAGCAAGUAAAAACUAAAACUGGUAAAACAACAAACUGGCUGUCUAUCAAUAACCUGUAAUAGUUGUCUGUCAAAACAAAAUUUUUAAUUUGUUUUAUUUUACUUUUAUUAAUUUAAAUGUUUUACCUACGUGACUUUACCGAAAAAACCUAAGAAUAUCAAUCUUUAGUUAAAGCUGUCGUGACUGCAGGAAUUGAUAUUCUUUAGGUCUUUCGGUAGAGUCACAUAGAUGGUUCAAAGAAAAUAACAAAAAGCUGCGACGUUUCGAUCACAACAGAACCGAAAGACCCAAAGAGUAUGAAUUCCUGCAGUCACGAAAGCUUUAAGUCAAGAUUUAAUUUAAAGAUUAUUUGAAAAUUACAUAUCACUGUUUCUGUGUCGCCACGUCCCCGUGUUGCCCAUGACUCCCAUGUCCUGCGUUGCUGUCUCCACUUCCCCCUUGUCUCCAUGUGUCCCAGCCUCAGUGGCCUCUCUCCAUUCCUGGGCGAAGAUGAGAGUGAGACACUGAACAACAUCGUUACCUCCAACUGGGAGUUUGAUGGGGAGGUGUUUAGCGAGGUGUCUGAAGACGCAAAGGACUUCAUUACGAACCUCCUUGUCAAGGGGAAGGGGUGGCGGCUGAGUGCCAAGGGGGCCUUGCAACACCAAUGGCUUCUGAAGAGCAACCUGCACAGCCGCCUCACCAAACAGCUGCAAGGGAAGAGGGGGUCUCUGACUCAAGCCACAUUGCCGGUGUUUCCCAGAAGCCUGACCCCUUAACACAACCAUCUGCUCAGCCAAAGAGUCGCGUGGAGGACGGCCUGUGUAGCAUCACGCAAGCCUCGGAUUCACCGAGACCCGAGGACUUGCAUCACGACCCGGAAACUUGCAUAAAUUUACACGGACCCAUAGAUUGACAUAUAGACCCAUAGAUUUAUAUAGAGACCCAUAAAACUUACAUAGAUAACCAUAGAUGGAUUGGUGGCAGAGUGAUUAGCUCACUGCACUAUGGACCUAGCAAAUUCAGUUCGAUUUACAACUAUGACUAACAUCAGUGGUAACAUAAUAUAAACACAUUAUUGAUUAAUUAAAAUUACAAUACAUAAGAGGGAUGAAAAUCUGAUAUUACCGAUAUUAAAAAGACAUAGACAUACAGAGAUACCGAUAGACUUCAUAGAUAUCCACAGACUCAGAAGAAACCUGUAGACUGGCGAGACCUCAUAGACUUACACAGAGACCCAUGGGCCUGCCUUCACGUCUCUUCAGCAUCCAAUGUCUGGGUCAGAAUGUGUUUUGUAAUGUAAAACAAAUGCAAUAUAAUUCCAUGUGAGAGGAGCAAGGUGGUACAGCCAGUAGGCUGUCGAUGAUUUGCGUGUGUUUGAAUGUUGUACACCGAUGGCAGCAAAGCGCCGUAUGGGUCAGGAUCCCCGUACGUCACCAUUGCCGUUACAUCCCUGGACAGCCUUGGUCAAAGUGGCCUUCAAGCCCUCUCCACUCAAACCACUUGCGGUGUGCGGUGACCGCGUGCGCGACGCGGUGUUGGUGACUGCACACUCCCCUGUUCACGAGAACACGUCCGCAAGUGUUGCCGUGUUCGAGGCGAAUCGUAAGAUGUGUGGGUUGCGGCUGCUGGCUCGUUCAGACCGGUUUCGUGUUAUUUUCUGUAUCUGCACCAUCGUACCGUAGUUCGUCGUCGUGUAACAAUGGCAGCUCAGCGGUCGACCGAGCGGCUCGGGUCAGAAGGUUGCGAGUUCAAAAUGUUUGGGCUGUGACCAUCUAGUCCAGUGUUUUCGACUAGUUUUCAGAGGGGGGGCCACUUUUGCCAAUAAGACAUCAUCAGUGAGAGGGCCGCCACAUUUGAAACCAUUGGGGGUUUGCCAGCAGCACGAUGACGGGGGGUGUUGUCACGUGUUGUGUCUUGUUGGGGGCCGCACUAAAGGCCACCAGGGAUCGCCAGUGGCCCACGGGCCUUGCAAUGAAGAACACCGGUCUAGCCCCUUUAUCAGAAACCCAGUUUCUUGCUCUGCUUAUUUAGCAAGUUGGGAUUUGUUGUCAUUGCAGCCCUGAUAUGUGUUUUAUUCAUUGUAUGUGCCAAUGUGUUGCUGUGAUUGUGUUGUAAUUGUGUUUAUGCAUGAAAUGUGAUUGGGCAGGGAGCCGAACUACAAACACCGCCUUCUGUGGUUGUCAAUAAUAAUACUGAUGAUGACGAUGUCCUUGGUUCAUCCAGGAACGACUUGUAUUGUACUUGAAUAGGCUCCAUGGCUGACACCAUGGGGAGGGCUUCAUACAGCAGUGGAUUGAAAUAGCAGUAGACAGUACUGUUAUUCAAGUGGUCUUGACUCAAACGAACAAAUAAAUAGGAGAGCUAAGCAAUAUAAACCCUUUUCCGAAGCAUCUCAAGAUCAGGUCAUGAUGUGUUCAUAAUAAGCCCACUCAUGCAGCACUCGUGUCAGUAGACUACAGCUGCAGCCCUUUUGCCAAUCCACCGCUGGAUGAAGGCUCCCCACUCUGUGUUGCUCAUAGGGGUGGUUUGACCAUACAUCACCACAGUGGUCAGUGCAGAUUGAAAAUAGGAGUCCAGGGCAGCUUCAGAUAUCACUCAUCACAUGUUAGCCGUGGCUGGCAGUCAAACCGAGGUAGCCACCUCUCCAUGAAUCAUAAGGAUACAAUGUUAUUGACAAAAUUGAAUUAAUUUAUCUUCCAAUUGUGAACCAAGUGGCUUUCCUGGGUAACAUAUCAUGAUUGUUGUAUAAAGAAAUCCCCCCUGGUGAAGGAUUUGCUUGUGUUGGUGAGAUCGUUCACUGGAUCACGAGUGCGUCUGUGCACGGAACUUAGUACCCUGUAGAACGUGGAAUGGACGUGGCUCUAGGCACCAACAUCGUGGCCACUCGAGGCAACGCUUCAUGCGUGUCCUGUAGAGGCGCAUCUUUAACAGAAACAGUGUUCUCAUGGUCCUGUUCUCUCGUUUACCGAGUUUCACAACUCGUGCGAGGCCGCGUGUCCACAAGCGUCCUGCUUGUGUUUUUUUGAGUUGUGUCUUAUUUAAGCAUAGUUAUACAGAUGUUCACGUCAACAUUGUCAAGGGGAGUUAUUUAUCACGAUAACGCUGGGGUAGUGUGGGGUCCCUGUUGUGGGCCAGUGUGCGAGUUUCCCUGUUGGUGUCGUGCCGUGUGGCUGUGUCGAUUUGCAUGCCCCGAAUUCUAUAGAUGUCAUAUUUUGCGUGCUAUUUUAUUGAAUUUGGUUGAUUUUUUGUUUCAAGUUUUCCUUCUGUGAAGGUUUUUAAUCAAACAAUUCUGAAUGCUAUUUACAAACCGUACACAUGAACGCAUACAUAUGUGCAUCAACAUGUCCACCUUAUGCACACGCACCGCAUACGUACAUGCACUUGUAUCGGAGGUCAUGAGUGGUAACUGAUGCUAAUGUAAUACAUGACACAAAAUCAUAAUGCUGGAGAGUUUAUAAGUAACAAAAUACAAAAAAUGUACACAUCCCAUCAGCCACACGAUCCAAUGGAAGUCCAUCAUUUGAGCAGCAUUGGUUCAACACAAGCAAAAUUUAGACCGAUUUUUCAUAUUCAGUUUAUGGGCAAGGGUCCUCUGUUAGUUCUGGUCUUUGUGAGUUUUUGGAUAUUCGUUUGAACAAUGUGAUGUAUACUGGCCAGGGGUCGGUAAAACAAGCUCAAUAUUUAAAGAGCCGCAAUGCAUGUGAAUACAAAGACGGCCCUGAAUGAAUCACGUCAAACCAUGUAUUUUUUAUUAAUCACUAUUUUAAGAACAGCACACGCACAAUAACUUGUCGCAUUUCAAAUAAUUGUUGGGCUUUUAGACGUUCACCAUUUAUCGAAAAGAAUUAGGAGGGUGUUUUUACUUUGCAUUAUUGUGUCGAGAGCCACGAAGUAGUCCUCAAAGAGCCGCCGCACGCGGCUCCGGAGCCACAGGUUGCCCACCCCUGAUGCAGGCGAAUAGAAAGUUGGCAAAUCUCAAGCAACUACUGUUUCACACAUGCUAACACGCUUACACACGGACAACAGGUGAUUUUGCUCACACACAUAUACAUUUACACCAGCCUGUAGCUGUACUUGUUGAUGAUAUGGACAGGAGUAUUAGCAAAAGUGCAAUCUUUACGUUGUUGCUUUGCACCAUUACAUAUUUUCACGUUAAUUUAUUUCUAAUAUCUGUGAUUAUAUGGAUCCCCGUCAAACAAAUGUGCAAUUUCCAUCAGCUGAUGGCUCGGAUGACUGCAUUUGUUUCAAAUGAAACGCGUUCAUUUUUCAUAACCUAAAGAAAUUUCACAAAGUGGCUUAUGGAAUUCAUUUGUACAAAAUAGUGAAGUUUUUUUUAAUACACAAAGGUUAUAUGCCGUAUUUGGAAUGUUUAAACCACUUAUCUCCCCAGGAGAUACGCAUGGGUCAAAACAGUAGACAAUAGGCAUGCAUAAAUGCGGACAGCUCCGUCUCCCCACUUUGGCAAAGUUGUUCUGGAGAUCUCACUCUUGCCGCUUGGCCGUUUCCAAAGCUCCAGGAGAACGGAGAGAGGGUGACCCCUGCCGAGUGGCUCAGCGGCAGGGCAAGCAGCUCUCAGCCAGAAAGUCGCGAAUUAAACAUCCGGUUGGUUGGGGGGGGCGGGGGUUGACUCAGCCCACAAUCCUUCCAGGGUCGAGAAAAUGAGAUGCCACACUUUGUGUGGAAGGAAGUUAACAAUGAUUGUCCUACGAGAGACUCUGAAUGUGGAUUUCCACCACGGCUCAGGGCUGUGAAUAGGAGAUGAGCGCUGCCUCAAUUCACGUGAGCAGCAGGACACCACUUUGACUUUUUUUUUGCGAAAGUCCAUUUCCAAAAACUUCAGAAUCAUCGCGACUCACUCAGCCCAGGGCUGCGCACGGUGCCUUAGAUGCGGGUGGGACCGUUUGCUGGGAAAUGAUGUAGCCAGCAAAUGGUGGCUUCUGUUGAAUUGUAAAUUAAAAGCGACCUGGAUUGCUU